rnacentral:rRNA from 1 species
UACGGGGGGGCAAGCGUUGUUCGGAAUUACUGGGCGUAAAGGGUUCGUAGGUGGCCAACUCAGUCAGACGUGAAAUCCCUCAGCUCAACUGGGGAACUGCGUCUGAUACUAGAUGGCUCGAGUGCAGGAGAGGAACGCGGAAUUCCAGGUGUAGCGGUGAAAUGCGUAGAUAUCUGGAGGAACACCGGUGGCGAAGGCGGCGUUCUGGACUGCAACUGACACUGAGGUGCGAAAGCCGGGGAGCAAACAGG